AGAACAGUUCCUUCGGGGACUUAGUAAAGUGGCGAACUGGGUGAGUAACGCGUGGAUGAUCUGCCCUCAAGUGGGGGAUAACUCGGGGAAACCCGGGCUAAUACCGCAUAAGCCCUUCGGGGGAAAAGUUUUUCAAAUUGCUUGAGGAGGAGUCCGCGUCCGAUUAGCUAGUUGGUGAGGUAAGAGCUCACCAAAGGCGACGAUUGGUAGCCGGUCUGANGAGGACGGACGGCACACUGGGACUGAG
rnacentral:rRNA from 1 species